GCAAGGACCACCGAAGGACCCAUUGGUUCUACCCACUUCACAGAGAGCAAAGUUUGGAGUCGUGUGUGGCAGUGCACGCCUGUAGUCCCAGCGCUCAGGAGGCUGAGGCGAGAGGAUCACAGUGAGUUGGAGGCCAGCCUGGGCUACACAGACUCUGUCAAAACAACAAUCACAAUAACAGCAGCAGCAGCAGCAGCAGCAACAACAACAACAAAGCAGAUGUUUGACUUUGACUAACAUCUUUGUGCACUUUCCUAAGCAGGGCUGGGGACAGCCCCUUGCCCAGUCCCAGUUUAUCACCAUGGAAACUAGAGCUGCACGGAUCUCGCUUCUGGUCAGCAGCAGUUGUGAGGUGCUAUAAGCCCUGUAGCCACAUGUGAGUGAGGUCUGGCUGGCUCCGCUGGGCAGUGAUGCACACCUGUAACCCCAGCACUCUGGGAGGCAGAGGCAGGAGGAUCGCAAGUUCUGGCCCAGCUGGGAACAUAGCAACUGAGCAAGGCUAUGUAUCAACAUAAAAAUAUUUAAAAAGGGUAGAGGUUGUAGCUCAGUGUGAAGGCUCUGGGUUCAAGCCCCAGUACUGGGGGAAAAAAAAAGUUCAGACUGUGGACAGGCCACACUGUCCCCUGCCUCCCUGAGCCGGGGCACACUCUGGAAGCCACGGGGCCUCAGUUUCCUCCUCUGGGAGGUGGGAGUAUUCAC
rnacentral:lncRNA from 1 species